CACAUAGCACAAGCAGAAGUACCUAUAAGUAGAGUAUACAACUAUGUGCUGGGGGACUUUGGGGGGAAGAAGGGAAAAAAAAGUGGUUCCUGCCCCUGAUGUGCUCACAGUUUGGGGGAAAGCAGACAAGAACUGUCAGGACCCCAGCAGGGGCUGUCAUGGUGUUGUGUUCAAGGUUCUGGAGACGAACAGGAGCUUCCACCCAGGUCUCUAUGGGAGGAGGAGUCUCCGUGGAGCCUUCGGAGUUCACCGGGUCCCCAGGAGCUGGUGCAGGGGACGCCUGUGUCAGGCAGAGAGAUGCAAGGGGAGCAGUGGGCAGGUCUGGGCGCGAGGCCGGCUGAGUUGGAGAUGCCUGUGGGAUUCAAGCUCUCGCUGGGGAGCCUGGGGCUUGGGAGAGAGAGGUCUAGAGGACGUGCAGUUUCUAGAGCAGACUCGUGGAAUGGACUCGGAAACUUCCGGAAGGUCAUCUUUCAUUAUGAGCUGGUGAUCCUGAGUCUAUGGCUUCAGGUGACCGUCCUCACCCAAGCUUCAGGUGCCCCUGAAGCUAACUUCAUCUAACUGCCCAGCUUCCCCGGAUGCCCAUGGGCACCUCAAACUUUAUGUGCCUCCAAACUGGCUUGUCAAACCGGGGGCGCCCCCUAGAUGCUGCUAAGUGCCCAGCCAAUACUCAUCUGCUCCUCCUCCCUAACUGAAUUCUGAUUUUGUUCUGGGUACCAAUGAACUCCACUGAAGUCGCUCAGCCUUCCUUGCAGCUAUGGGUGCUGCAUCCCUUCCCAAAUGAAAAGUCAAAGCCUUCUUAAGAGAAAGGCCCUUGCCUUCUUCCCUGCCUUGGAAUGAGGGCUGGAGGUGCAGCAGCCAUCUUGUGACCCCGAGGCCACAUGCUUAAGGACAAAGAGCCACUCAUUGAGGAUGGUGCAGGGGAAAGGUGGAGGGAUGGCAUUACAGAGCCACGUUCAUUUCAACCUGACUGCUGUCUCCUGAUCUUUUUUUUGUGUGUGAAAUCACCCCAUCACAUUUGUGGGGGUUUCUGUUACUUGAAGCGUUCCUGAGUGCUUCAUGCUCCUCUGUCUGUCACCUAGUCCUCUGGCCUCUUAAAGAGUUCUAAAUUGUUUCUUCCCAUCCCCCUCCACGUUCAGGCCUUGUCAUCUCCUCCUGCAGGAAUGGCGCUAGUGUCCUGCUGGGUCUCACUGCCUAUGUGGCGUCUCCCUCUGUCCAUCCCUGGAGGGCACCAUGGCUGCCAGGACCAGUUUUCAGAAACUCAUUUCUGACCACAUCCUUCCCAUCUUUAAACCCUCCAGUAGGCUCCAUUUCCCACACAAGACCAAGUCCCUUACCCAGACGCUGACCAUCUCUCUGCCCCGUCUUCCUCCGCUCCCUGCCUUGGAUUUACUGUCUCAGUAGCACGGCUGAGGGUGUGGCCUCUGCCCGCCAUCCCACCUUCUCUGCCACGCUGAGGCUGAGUGCCCCUCACAGAUGCGCCUUUCGCUCUCCUGCCGCCUCCUCUGAGCUCACCCUCAUCCGUCCAUCAGUCUGUCAUGGCACUUGUGGCACGGCUCGUAGGGAAUGGAGCUGGCCCGCUCCUCUGAUCCCCCUGAGUGAGCCCUCCAUGUCCCCUGGCUCCUGGUCGAGGCCUAGGCUCCGGUGCUCAGAGAGUGCCAUGCUCGAUCAUGCUCUGCUCGGUCCCUGCCACGUGGCCACUGCUGCUUGUUGCAGAAGCCACAGGGCAUUGCUUACUAAAAACUGGAAUAAAUGAGUCAUAAUCCCAUCACCCCGCCCCGGUAACCUGUUU
rnacentral:lncRNA from 1 species